rnacentral:rRNA from 1 species
GUCCUUUUGAAUUUAAUAUAAGGUUUGACCUGCCCACUGAAAUUUUGAAUGGCCGCAGUAAUUUGACUGUGCAAAGGUAGCAUAAUCAUUAGUUUUUUAAUUAAAAGCUUGUAUGAAGGGUUGGACGAAGUAAAAGCUGUCUCUAUUUAAUUUAAAAUAGAAUUUAAUUUUUAAGUUAAAAAGCUUAAAUAUUUUUAAAAGACGAGAAGACCCUAUAGAUCUUUAUAUUAUUUUUUUUUAAUUUUAAUUAAGAAUAUUUUAUUUAUUAAUAAAAAUAAUAUUUUAUUGGGGUAAUAAAAAGAUUAAAAAAAUUCUUUUUUUAUUUUUACAUUAAUAAAUGAAUUUAUGAUCCAAUAAUAUUGAUUAAAAGAUUAAGUUACCUUAGGGAUAACAGCGUAAUUUUUUUAGAGAGUUCAUAUCGAUAAAAAAGUUUGCGACCUCGAUGUUGGAUUAAAAAUUAUCUUAGGUGCAGAAGUUUAAGAUUUUGGUCUGUUCGACCAUUGAAUUUUUACA